GUAUUUUGAAUUAUGUUAUUCAUGAUACAUUGCUUCAGACAAACUGGUUUAAAAUAGAUUAAUUAAAAGAAAUCUCGUGCCCUCAAAGAGAGACAAAAGACUCUUAACGCUGCACACAAGGUGGGUAUGGAUUUUUAGAGUGCCAUAAACACUCGUUAUGAAUGAUCCUUCCGCAGGUUCACCUACGGAAA
rnacentral:misc_RNA from 1 species